GAACUCAUGGUCCUCCCACUCACCCCCACCCAAAACUCCUCAACACCCUACCCCUCCUAAUUUUCCUAUUUCUCUUGAUGGUGCCCCACCUUCCCAGUCAUGAAACCUUAGUCCUUAUUGACUUUCCUGGCCUUCCCUUCCUCCCUAUGGCCAGUGUGGAGGAUCCCACUCUACAAGGAAAUGGAACCCAAGCUCCAGCUGAAUGGAGUCUCUGGUCGACUAAAAGGAGAAUGACAGACACAGCUGGGAGGUGAGGAAUCCGAGAGCCAGAGAGGUGAAGAGACUCGUUCAUGCUCACAGUGACAUAGAUAACAACCGGCAUUCAGACUCUGACCCCAAAUCCAAGGCUCUUUCCACUGAACCAAGAAAGUUGGGCCUGGAAGAGGUGGCCGAUCUGAAUUGAAAUCCCAACUGCUGAGUAGCGGUGUGACCAUCAGCAGGGCGCUUUACAACAACCGUCCUGGGCCUCUGUUUCCUCAUCUGUAAAAUGGGGGUGAAAAGUGCUUAUAUCACCUACUUCUUCCCUGCUAAUGCUACUCUCUUCUGCCCGAGAAUACCUCCAGUCUGUGCCGUAUGGAUCUGCUUGACGUACCAAGUUAUUCUAUGCAAAGUGCUUUCUGAGUGACUCACGGAAAGAAUACUGGAUUUGAGGCCAAGAAGACUUGGGUUCUGUUUCUUGGGGCAACUCACCUUAACCCUCUGAGGAUCGAUUUCCCCAUCUGUAUAAUGGAGGCAGUACCUUUACUACCUGUCUUGCAGGGUUGUGGUAAGGAUCCAGUGGGCUAAGGUAUAUAAUAAAGCACUUCAUAAACCAUAAAUCUGCAUAGAAAUGUCACUUUGAUGCUUCAAGGAUAUUAUGAAAUUCAUUGGUGUGGGUAUUUUUUCCACCAGUGUAGAUCUCAGGCUUUCCACAGACAGUCUUUAUUAGUCACUGCAGUGAAGGACAUUUGUCCUCCGUCUUCUGAUGGUGAGUUUCUCUGUACUUUGCCAGGCUGGUCCUCAGGGGACAGGUACACAGUUUGUUUUGGGACAUGUACUUGAAUCCUAAUUCCAGUUUAAUAGUACCUGCCAGAGCUUCUGUCUCAAAGGAUAACCUUUGGAAACAGGUUCACCCCUAAUCCACAAUGAAUGAGUCAUUAGAAGAGGACAGAUAUCAACCAGCACCUCCUUGCUCUCUCCUCAACCAAUUACUAUACUUAGAAAGGCAUUCAGACCUCUGAACCUUUGGUGGGAAUUUGAGAAUUUUUGAGUCUUGCUUAGAAUGAUUUUGUGAAAUUGGAUCUAGAACCUGGGUUAGGAAGAGAUUCUCCAAAUCAGUCUCCCCUAUACAUCUUCUAUCCUGGGAUCCAGAAAUAAUGUAGCAGGCAUAUCCGUAUGUAUUUCUAUGGGUAUAUAUUCAGAGGUAAGAAUCCAGUUGUUGGUUUUUUUUUUUUAAAUCAUGCUAAAAGUUAUAUCUUACUCACAUCUUUUAGAUCUUUCUCAUCUCCUUCCUGUUUCACAGGCACUGCUAGAACCCACUCAGCAUUGUUUUCUGGAUCAUAGAUUUCAAACUAGAAAGGACCUUAGGGAUCUUGAAGUCCAACCCCCUCGUACAGCAGAGGAAACUGAGGUACAGGAAGGGGACCCCAUACUUCCAUCUGGAAUAUUACGUUCACUCCCAGGUGACACAGUUUAGGAAGGACAUUGACUCAUUCAGGGGACGAUGACCAGCAUCAAGACCGUGCCUUGUGUGGGUGGUUUGAAGGAGCCAGGGGUGUUUAACCCAGAGAAAAGAAGACUUGACUGGGACAUGUGCAAACUAUAAGAGACUGUUUGAAAAAUUCUCCAAAUCACUAGGUGAAAUGAAAAUUAAAAUAACUGUGAGGUUUUACCUCAUUUCCUGAAAACCAACAAAGGUAACAAGAAAUGGGAACAAAAUCACGUUGGAGGGGCUAUGGGAAGGCAGGGCACGGGAAUCUAUUGUUAGUAGAACUGUCAGUUGGUAUAGCCAUUCUGGAAAUCGGUUUGGAAUUAUGCACUAAAUUGUCCCUACUCUUUGACCCUAAGGAGGUUCAAACAGAAAACAGAGUUUUGAUCUAUGCAAGACAUACGAACUGGAAAGAAGUGAGUGUCCCUCAAUCAGGGAGUGAGUGGCUGAAAAAAGAACUGUGGUAUAUGAAGCUGUACUUGACUUCCACAUGGAGAAAAACUGUAGGAGCAGCUCUCUGUGUCUUCAAGUUAUGCAUAAACAUAUCCCUGGGACUUCAUUAUUGCACGGAUCAUUUGCAGGCAUUGCAUUUCUCAGGCAUCGGACUUUCUCCCCAGCUCAAAUUACCAAGAGCAAUUGGACCUCAUCAUAGCCCAAUUGCUGACACAUGUCGUUGUUUACAUGCAAAUUGAAUUGUGCACAAAUAAACAUUUGUCCCCAGAAGAACAUCAGGUUUUUCACUUUUCCUAAUAAUUUUUAAACCACAUUCCAGCUUAUCUCCAUUUGGAGUAAAGGAGGGAACAAAUGUGUUUGCAGGCAGAAUUAGUUUUAGGACUAGAAGAGUGUGUUGUUUAUGGCUGAGAAAUGAACCCAGAGUGAAAGGGAGGAUCAUGAGGAGAAUCCAGAUCCCUCCUUCUCCCCUAUCUGGAACAGCAAUACACCGAUGCAGUUAGCCAUACAUAUUGACAAUUUCUAGUUAAGUCAACUUCUUUUUUAGUUAAAUAGUCUAGAAGACAGAUGAAAUUUAUUUCACUUGCUUAAUGCCUUGGGGUAGGGUCAGGAGGAAGAAAAGGACUAAUCACCAUCAAUAAUAAAAGUGGAGACAGGUACAUGUUUUUUGUUUUGCUUUCAUUUAAUUUUAUCUUGUCAAUUAAAAAAAAUCUACC